GACGAACGCUGGCGGCGUGCUUAACACAUGCAAGUCGAACGGAAAGGCCCUGCUUUUGUGGGGUGCUCGAGUGGCGAACGGGUGAGUAACACGUGAGUAACCUGCCCUUGACUUUGGGAUAACUUCAGGAAACUGGGGCUAAUACCGGAUAGGAGCUCCUGCUGCAUGGUGGGGGUUGGAAAGUUUCGGCGGUUGGGGAUGGACUCUCGGCUUAUCAGCUUGUUGGUGGGGUAGUGGCUUACCAAGGCUUUGACGGGUAGCCGGCCUGAGAGGGUGACCGGGCACAUUGGGACUGAGAUACGGCCCAGACUGCUACGGGAGGCAGCAGUGGGGAAUAUUGCACAAUGGGCGGAAGCCUGAUGAAGCAGCGCCGCGUGCGGGAUGACGGCCUUCGUGUUGUAAACCGCUUUCGCCUGCGACGAAGCGUGAGUGACGGUAAUGGGUAAAGAAGCACCGGCUAACUACGUG
rnacentral:rRNA from 1 species